rnacentral:lncRNA from 1 species
AAAAUUCUAAUGUUCAAGAAAUGGGAUUGCGGAGAUCCGUGAGGCUAAAUGCGACAAUAAGGGGAGCGGCAUCAUCAUCACGAGCUUCCACCAUGGGAACCACCGUGGUGGCUACCUCGGUAGCCACCCGCGGCGAGGUCCAUGGUGCCUUCACCACGGCCACCAUGGGAACCACCGCGGUGGCUACUUCGGUAGCCACUCGUGGCGAGGUCCAUGGAGCCUUCACCACGGCCCGGAGAUCCGUGAGGCAAAAUGCGACAAUAAGGGGAGCGACAUCAUCACCACAAGCUUCUACCAUGGGAACCACCGUGGUGGCUACCUCGGUAGCCACCCGCGGCGAGGUCCAUGGUGCCUUCACCACGGCCACCAUGGGAACCACCACGGUGGCUACUUCGGUAGCCACUCGUGGCGAGGUCCAUGGAGCCUUCACCACGGCCCGAGCCGUGCCAUCCAAGGCUCACGGUACCAAGACCACGAUCCAAGCCGUGCCAUCCAAGUUUACGUGGACCCAAG